CCCCGCCCUUCCCCCGGGCUUGGGCCGGCCGGGGGUCCCCGCCGCCUUGCCCGGCCCUGCCUGCCGGGCCCCGCCUGUGUGCACCCCGAAACUGGGGUGGGGAGGGCGGCCCCGGAGCCCGCCCGGAGCGGGGCUGGCCGGCGUUGCCUCAGUCGCUUAAGCUGAGGUGGUCUGUGGUGGACUGCGGCCUCCUGGGCAGGUCCUUCCUCUCGAAUUAUAAUGUUCUUCAAAAUCAGGCACUUGCUGUGACCCAUCUGUAACUCUGGUAGAUGCUCAAGAUUGCUCAGCUCUUCCUAAAUUGUGCAGACGAUUAGAAUCGCUUUGCUCAGCAGCUAUUUGUAGGAUACUGAAUAAGCCAAGGAGCCGUGCCAGUUCCUGCUGAGAAUCAGUGAUCAGCUCUUGUGCUGGGGGAAAAGGCGGUAGGAGCGGAGCCCUUCUGAGGGAAAGCUGCCUUAUUAAAGACCUGUCAGCUGCUGCCAAAACCAACAAGGUGAACAGCCCUCGUGGGCAUCCGUGAGCCCGUGGGUUGGGAGGUCUCUGCUCGUGGCACAGUCCACUGGCUGAAAGCACCUGGGGUUUGAAGGAGCCAGUGGUCCUUUCUGAUUAACAGCCUCCUACAAAACACAUUUUCAUCUAAUUUACCUCUUUUGGCUUUCAAAUAAGCAAGUAAUGUCACACCUGCUAAGCAGCUAGAAUUAUGCAGCAUCAUAAAUUAAACUUUUUAAUUUGCCAAAAUUCCUGGCUUAUACCAUUUAUCAUUCAGAGCCGUCCUUCAGAGAGGCAGAAGAAUUUCCUGCGUGGCUGUGCACGAGAGGCGAAUCUUUUCCCUUCGCUCCACAGCGCAGGAUGAGGCACGGAUGACGGUGGGCAGUGAGUGCCAGCACCAGGAGAAGCUCUCCAGAAAGGUGCUUUGUUAGUGAAGUCAUUAACCCCAGGACACUUGCGUGGCAGUGCUGCGUUUUGCACCACAUACCCACGGCAGCUGCUUUAGGCUGAGAGACCGGCGCGGUCCUGCUGUUUGGGUCCCCACGGUGCGAACCGAAGCCCUUGGGCAGUGGGGCGGCACUGAAGAGGCAGCUGCUUUGCUGCUGCUAGAUACUCUGAGACAUUCUUACAAAUGGGAGCACGAUGCUCAGAUUAGUGAUGCUUUUCCAGCUGAGUAGGCUGGCAUCAGCUACAAGCACUCUGCCAUACAGGGAGGGAAAGUGUCUUUAUCAAGUUGGGUAGUUUUGACCUCCCUCUUCCUCUCCCUUGACUCAAGGCUCAAAGCUACUUAGCCCAUGAGGCAGGGAAUCAGAGAGGAGGCUAUUUCUAUAAAUGCAUUUCACUGAUAAAAGCUGGGCUUUGAAGAUUGAUAUCUCUUGAAAACUCUUUAAUACAGUGAAUAUCUGUUGGAAAAAUAUUGAUGAGAGUGGGUUUUACAUAUAAGAGCAAGGUGGUGCUGGUGCUUAGCAGAAGCUUCGUGGACACGAAAUCAGAAAUGUGAUCUUGUCCCAGGUCUGGUAAUUCCAGAUGAAAUGGGGUGCUUGCAAUGUCUUUUUCCUGUCAAAACUGGCAAUGGAUUUUCCCCCACUGCCUUUCCUUUCAGGCCAAAUGAUGAACCCUUCUCAUUGUUUGGAGAGUGGUGGUGGUGUUCUCCUUCCAAAUGAGAAAUAAAACCUCACUUAUGGAUUACAAUAGUUUGAGGUGAGGGAUGUGGAGUGGAAACACUAUAGUGAAAAAAUACUUUCCUGUUAAAGAAAUAUUUGAAGCCACAACAAUUUGGUUUUUGAAAAAUUUAUGAAGAGUUGUCUAGGCUGCAAGUAAUACAAAUGAGUUAAACUACUCAUAGGCAGUUGCCCUUUUCCAUAAGCAAAAAAAUCAUAUCAAAACAAAUACAGAUAUAUGUGAACGUGCUUAUGGUAAAAGAACUGCGUUUAAAGAACUUAACGCAAAAAUGGUGGCACCACAGUCUAGCAUAAAAAAGAAGAUGAGGGCGGUUUGUGGUACCUUGCAGAGAGAGAGUUUAAUUUGGAUGCUACCUCUUCUUUCUGUAAAACAUCCGCAUAGCUGCUGGGAAAAUAAGUUGGGAAGGAGCCAAGAAGAACAGCAGUGAAUGGCAUGAACACCACAAUGGGAAAACAAAGUCCACCCACCGCGUGCAGCGCAGCGUGACGCAGCUUUCCCUCUCUGCUGUCUGCUUUCCUCGGGCCAGAGGUGCAGCCCAGGGUCAGCGGGCAGAAGGUGGUUUUUGUGUGCUGGCCUGGCUGCUGGGACCCUCCUUCCAUUAAUUACUAGAAGUCUUUGGAGGACCUGCAGCUUCUCUUGACCUUUUUGCUGCCCGCUGUACAGCACCGCUGUUCCGGCAGGGGACUCUGCCGGGGCCGUGGCCCCGGGGCUCGGAGGAGAUGCCUGCGAGCCAGGUCCUGUGCUCCUAUGCAUGCUGCGUCUGAGCCUGCGGUGCAGUGCUGGCUGAUACAAGGUGGUCCUGUAAUACACUAACUCACAGCCAGAUCUGCCGGAAAAAUAGCCUAAAAAGGCUACUGUUCCUAAUACUCCAGGUGCAAACAUCAGUGAGGCUGGAGGUGUUUGCCAGUUGCUGUUUGCACCCGCUUGCCUCUGUGUGUCCUUGAUGGACAGCCUUCUCCGAGCAGGAUCCUGAGCUUGUCAGGGGGAGAGAAAAAGAGCUGUGAAGGCUCAGAGAUGCACUCACUGAGGUACCAAAACUCCUCUUCUGAUCUCAAGCAAUCAGGAUAAUUCAUGGAGGUUUUAUCUUGGUGCGGUCUCUACUGAGGGAAGACCAGCUCAAGUUCAGUAUGCACAUUGCCCAUGUGUUACUGAUAAACGAUCUUCUACGCUGUAUCCCUGCUGUUAGGGAUAUAAAAAUCCUUUGUUUAAAUUAACACUACAUUAUUGCUGUUCACAUCUAAAUUAAAAUGUGGAGACCAAGCCUGUAAUAGUUACACACCUCUCGUCCCAAAGCACUGCCGAGCCCCUCUCAGUCAGCAAUGCGAAUGCGCGAUGUGGGUAGCAGAGCGUGCUCCAGCUUACUGCCGGGUCUGGAGCAGCAGUGCAAUUCCCAGUCCAGUGGUGGAACAAGCCCAUCCCUGUGGGUCGGUACCAUUAAACGUCUUCUGGAAUCUAAAUCAAGUAAGCUGGAUGCACAUAACCUCA